UACGUAUGUUCCAAGCGUUAUCCGGAUUUAUUGGGCGUAAAGCGAGCGCAGACGGUUUUUUAAGUCCGAAGUGAAAGCCCACAGCUUAACUGUGGAAGUGCUUUGGAAACUGGAUGACUUGAGUGCAGUAGAGGAGAGUGGAAUUCCAUGUGUAGCGGUGAAAUGCGCAGAUAUCAGGAGGAACACCAAUGGCGAAGGCAGCUCGCUGGAACGGUACUGACGCUGAGGCGCGAAAGCGUGGGGAGCGAACAGG
rnacentral:rRNA from 1 species